rnacentral:tRNA from 1 species
GGGAUUGUGGCUCAGUGGUAGAGUGUUCACCUAGCAUGUGUGAGGCACUAGGUUCGAUCCUCAGUGCCA